rnacentral:lncRNA from 1 species
GAUCCUUGGAAAAGGAAAGGUCAUGGGUUAUUAGGGUUUCACCCUAACCAUGCACACUAUAUAAGCAUGCUUAUGGAGCAUGAAAUGGCAACUAGUGAACUAGUGUGUGUGUGCUUGUGUGUGGCCAAAAAUACAAGUGUGUAUACUCUCUCAAAGUUUUCCAAGAGUUUGUGGUGUUUUGUGAUUCCAUUUGAGGCAUUCACACUAUUGGUGCUUGGCCCUCAAACUCCUUAAGAACCAAACUCAUCAAAAAGGUAUGUAAUCUCUUCUAACUCUUUUAUGUUGAAAUGUUCCCCAUGCCAUGUUAGAUAGGUUAUGAACCUUGGAAAAUUAUUAUUUUGCAUGUAUUUAGACAAACAUAGAUCCAAGGUUUAUUAGGGUUGCAUGCACACUUAGGAAGUGUUAGAUUGCUCAAAACCCAACAGUGGUAUCAGAGCCUAGGCUUGCUUGUUUGAUACUUGAUGCAAAAUAGUGAAAAAAGUUGAAAUUGUUGCUGUCUGGCUGAUGGACUCGCCGAGUCCAUGGGGGGACUCGCCGAGUUCAAGGCAAAAUUCAUCCUACUCGGCGAGUAGGUUCGUGCACUCGGCGAGUAGAAUGAUCAGAAUGCAGAAUUUCGACUUUUGCUGCUGGAAAUGGACUAGAAACAUUACCCUAAACUGUUUUGGUGUUUUAAAACUUGUUUUAGUUGGUGUAAUGGUUGUUCUAAUCCAUUUACAAUAGCAUAUAUCAAAAUUCCAUGAUUUUUAUGUGUUCAUAUAAUUCUUGAAAUUUUGAUGAUCAUGUUCAUGUUCUUAUGAAUUUAGAAGAUGAUAGGAAUUAUUUGCUGAAUUGUUUAGAAUUAAUUCUUGAUCAUUUAUGUGUUUUAAUGGAGUCCAUAAUUUGUCCUCAAGUUAUGGAUAUCCAAAGGUCACUUUUCUUUAACACACACAUUUAAACACAUAAGUUACAUGAAAAUGAAGAGUCUUCAUUUUUAUGAACCUUUAAUUCAUAAGUUAUGAAAUGAAAAGUUUUGGAUAGUUACAAAACUUGCCCUCAAGUUUUGGAAUUUGAAAAGUUUCACACACUUUAAUAAACUUUAAUUCCAACACUUAGAGUUUUAAAAGUUAAAAUUCAACACUUAUACUAUUUAUAACAUUAAUGGUUAAUUAUUAUAUAUAUGUAUAAGAACAAGUCGUUUUACCGUUAGUAGGCCUCAUUCACGAAGCCGGUCUAUAAGGUGGGUAUAAGGUUGUUGCCUAUAAAAUGGCGACUUAAUGGGUGUCCACUCUCACCCACCGCUUGCUUGAUCGGUGGAGGGUCGUUAGCCGAACGGGUAGGACAAUGACUUUAAAUUCUCAUUAAAAGUAUAAUGAUUAUUAUAAAGUAACUAAAAAUUUUUUAUUUAAUUCCCAAUCUUAGUUACUUUAGGAAAAAUGUGAAUUUGGUGCUAGCCCAUGGAAUUCACACUUUGUACCUUACCAAGUCGUUGGUGGAGCGUGUGUGGUUAACCGGCACACUAACUUGGACUAGUAAGGAUCACGAAGGGUGACUUAAUGUUUGUCAUAGAUCAAUGGAGCGUGUGUGGUUAACCGGCACAUUGAUUAGGUGAUAAUAUUAAGGGUACCAAGUGAAUUGGUAUGGUUAUUCACACCUUGUUUUGUGAUCCUCGGCAUCCCAGUCACAAAAUUUGAGAGGGCACACUCGAGAUUGAAACAUGCCAUUGAAAAGUUCAAUGAAUCUCAAAAGAUCUAGGAAUUUCAAAUCCAAUUAAAACCUAAUAAAUUAUUUCGUUUUUCAUGGUGGAAAUUGGUGAAUCGUCAUUCGCCUACCUUCAAAUAUUUUAUAGCUUGGAUUACGGCAUCCCUCUUCCAAAUUAUAAAAUAUUGUGUUGGGUCCUAGCCUUAAUAUUUCAUAUUGGGUGUUAUAUUAAGGACUUUGAAUCAACUAACUUGAUUUUCUCCCAUUAUAGAUGUCUGGUUCAGACAACUAUGAUCUUCCCAAAUCUCUUGAAGAUGGUGUCCCUCAACAUCAUGCUUCACUUCCUCCACCUCCUCCAAUUAUUCUCCCUCACCCACAAGUUCUUGAAAAGUUUAAAGUCACUCAAUCCCUAUUGGCAAGCAUAGUCUAUGUGUGCUCACAUCUUGGAGAUAAAGUCACAUAUUGACAAGCCGGGAGAGUUGGGUGUCAAAGUCUCGUGAAAGUUGGAUGUUCAAUCACUUUCUUAGUAACAUAGUGAGUCUCUUUGGGACUACUAUGAGACAGACUAUGACAUGACCCUUAAUGAUGUUAUCUAUUUGCUUGGUGUUGUGGAAUCAGCAAUGAUUUGGAACACCAGUAAAGCAAAUUUGAUUAAAAGAACAACUUCCCAAGUCUUAAAUGGACAUUGACAAUGGUAGCAUUGGAUAUCUAGAAAAGGAUUUCUCUUCCCAAUGGAAAGGGAUCGGCCAUAGUCAACUCGGUUGACCAAAUGGUAAAGAGAAAGGCUAAGUCUGAGAUAGUCUCAUGUGCCAUUACCAAAGGGUCCAUGUGUUUUGUUGCCAAAGGAAGGGGCAUUGGUUGCGAAGCUGCCCUAUUCACCUGAAAGGUCAUAAGGUUGAUCAAGUCAAGAGGUUUGACUCUACUUCGGGUAAAGUCCACUGUCUAACUCUAUUAAGUUCCUAUUUGGAGAUUCUUAUUACAUAAUGUGAAUGGGUCACAUGCUGAUGUUUUUAAGAAUCAAAGAAAAGAUAGGAAGCUUAAAGUAAGUAUAUGUUGAUUCUGAUUGCGAAGGUGGGUUUCGAUCGCAUGGUUCGGUAAUCAGAAUUUUGAGCUGUUGCUUAAGAGUUAUAAUAUAUUGCUUAUGAAUAGAUAACAACAAGGUUUUCAUGUGGAUUGUAAGGAUAAGUUUUUCCGCAAAGUUUUAAAAAAAAAAAAAAAAAGGGUUUUAAUUUUAUUUAUUUUAAAAAUAUCCUUACAAUGGCAUCUGUGGAAAAUUGUUGCUUAUAUGUUUCCAGUAAUAGCAAUAUUGGAAAGUGGAUUUGAUUCUUUCAUUUGUGGUAGUGUCUGAAUUUACCAAAUGAAGAAAGUUUUUCAUCACCCAAGUUUCAAUUGGACAGAAACUUGGAAUCAUACAAGUUGUAUUGUAUGAUGAAUGAGAAUUUUCAUCUUUGAAAAUUAAGACUAAUUCUUUGAUCACAUGUAUAUGUGAGUCAAUUGAAGGACUAAGGAAUUAGGUACACUGGGUGUGCGCUGGUCAAGGUCCACCACAAAGAUUGAUUUGUCAUGAUUUACUAAAGAUUAGUAAAUAUGAUUAUACUUAUGAGGUUAAGUAUAAUUCUGUAACAUUGGAAAGGUUACAAUGUAUGACAAAACAAAUGAGAAGAAUCAAAUUAGGCAGAAAGAUAAAAGUUUCUCAAAUCUGAAAGGAUGGGAGAGUACUUUAGUAUCGUAUUUCAUGAUCAUCUUAAUGAUUAUGAAACCAUAUCACAAAUUCAUACUCUAAGGACGUCUUAGUGCAUUGUUAUGGCUAAGAAGAGAGGUCAUGAAUUGUUGGAUUGGUUAAAAUCAAGAAGAUGAGUCAUACUUCGUUCCAAAACAAUUCUUAGAGUCAUACUCCAAGAUUGUAACUUUGAGUGACAUAAAGGAAGAUUUAUUAACACUAGUCAAAUGUAAGAGUAAAAUGUUUUCUACUCUUGUACAUUUGAGAUUGGUAAGUUGUGAUGUCUUGGAUGAGACAAAGACCAACUAAGACCAAUUGUGUGAAGUGUUAGUCUUGAUAAGAAUCCGCACUAUCCCUUGAAUAUUUGUUUUGUCAAGGAAUGGUUCUUGACUGGGGAAACUUAUAUGUCAAGGGGACAGUGGGAGCCUUAAAGAUCCUGAAAGAGUUUCAAGAUUUAAUCAAGAGUAAAACCUGUAAUUUAUCACUAGCACACGACUUAAGGUUUGCAACCUAUCGUGUUGACAUAAUUCUUAUUUCUGUACCUACUUCAAAUAAGUUGAAUUUGCAUGUGAGUUAUCAGAGUUCAACUUGGAAGCAUUGGUGGGCCUUGUGCUACCAAGGUGACAAGAAACUAAGAUUGAACAAGUUUAAUCCAUGUAAGGCUGAAUUUGUCACUAACCUUAUCUUGUGAUUAUGGUUUUGACAAAUUCACAUGGAUAGGAACUCAUACACUAUAAAAUCUAAGUGUCAUAAGGUUUCUCUCCGAUUCAUGAAAAUGAUGGUGAGGAAACGCUUUCACUAAGUAGAUUUUACGUAGAUAUCAAUUGUGUUAUUUGCAUUUUCAAAAGUCGUUAGUGGAGCGCGUGUGGUUAACCGGCACACUAACAUGGACUUGUGAGAAAUGGCAAAUGCCUAAGCAAUUGAGACUAUGAUUACGGCAUCCCUUUUCAUAGUUCUGAAAAUUGUUUAGACACACAUGUGAGCUAUCUAAGAAAGGGUGUAUGAAUCUAAAUUUCAGAAGUCCAGCAGAUUUCUGGAAAUAUGUCAGAGCUAGUGGGAGCAUAAGUGUUAUGCUGAUAAUCAUCAUGUUAGUGGGAGCAUGAUUAUUACGUUUAGUGUUGCAAGUUAGCAAUGUUAAUUAUAGAAAACAAAGUUUCAAUUCGUGAAGUUGCAGGGGUUGAAAAGUUGUUUUGCUAUAAUUAAGGGAGAGGAAAUUAUACUUCAUUUCAAUUCUAAAGCUUAGAUUGAGAUUUUAAUCAUCUUUAGUCAAGAAUAUAUAUAUGAAUUUUAUGUUGGAAUGGUUCAACUUGAAGAAAUUCUAUAUAUAUUGCGUUUUCAAAAUUCGAUUAUGAUUACGGCAUCCCUCUUCAUAGUUAAAUUUUGAAAACAUGGCAAAUAAAAAAUAUUGUAGCAAAAGACUGGUCUAGUAUCAUGUCUUUAUGUCAAACAUCAUGAAUCGUGUCCCAUAUGCUUCGGAUAUAGGAUCGAUUGCAUGUGCUAUAAUAUUCAUCUUUUCUAAAUUUUCCAAAUGCUUAAGGCAUUGAGAAGGGAAAAGUCUAGAACUGGAUAUGACUAAAGUGAUUAAGCAAUUGUCGAGGACAAUCUGAGGUUCGCCAAAGAUUGGUUGCUCAGGGAAAGUUGGAAGUAUGAUGUAAGUUGUCGGAAAGGACCAUAUUGACAUAUUCUGAAAAGAAGUAACUCUUGUUCGGAAGUGAUAGUCAAAAUGGGACUAUGGAAAUGUCUCCAUAGGUGGAAGUUAUUCAAUCUAUGUAAGAUUAGAAAACCUUAAUGCAAGAAGGAUGUUCAAAGCAAUGUACUUUGAAUAUGAGACUUCCGUUCCAUAGAAGUUGACCUUCUUUGGAAUACUCUGUAAUGACUGGUGACAAGGUUUUGGUGACUUUGUGCAUAAUCAUUACAAGAGGAACAUUGCAUAAAAGUUUAAAAUCUAACAGUUUUUUUGGUAAAUGAUAGGAAUCGGGGAUUCUCACAUUUACAAUAAGGAUUUGGGAUUGUGAAAUGAGUAUCAUUGGAAUCAUGUUCAAUUGAUCUACAUCACAAUGUAAGGAUCAUAGACAAACAUAGUGUGCAUACUUGGAGUAUGGCAUAACUAUUGUUUAGAAAAACAAAGUGUACAUGCUAGGAGCAUGGGACGACUGUUGUUUUUAUUCAAGUCUUAAGUUGAUUGUUUGAAACAUUAUACAAUGAAUAAUGUGUAAUCAAUAUGGUGAUAAAUAAAAGGUGGUUCUAUUUAUAUUCAAAAGGGUUCUGAGACCAUAUUGGAUUCGAUUAUUAUUGUGUUUCACUUUGCAUGUUUUGACUUCCAAAAUAGCUAGGUUAUUCUUUCCGAAUGACUAAGUUAUUUAAACACUCCACAGUCGUUCAUAUGUUGGAAGUAGGUAUGAAUCAAGACUGUCAUGAAUCGAGUUUGUAGAUGGCUAAAUGGGUUUAGUCAUAGCAAUGGUUGCUACAACAUUCAUGAGUGCUCAUAAGUUAUGAGUAUUGGAAUAAACCCACGCUCACUUGUAUCACUUCAUGGAAUUUAUCUCGAGUGAUCGUGAGACGGUAAUAUCAUAUAAAUCUUCAAACCUAGAGAUAUGAGUUGUUACCUAUGAGUUGGUUGUGCAUUGAUUGCACGUAAACGCAUCAGUAACUUGAUGUUAUAAAACGUGCCUUUGUGUACAAUUCAACAAGUAGUAGAACAAGCAUAUGAGUCGAAGUUUAUCUGUUCCUUCUAGAAAUAGAAGCGAUAUCUGGGCCCCUCGAUGAUUUUGUUGUGACCUAUGUACCGGCCGGUCAGAACUAAAUUGAUGUGUUCGAUUAAGUUCUUUGUCAAACAAAUCGAAAAUCGGGAAACAAACUGCUGGACAAUAAGUACGACGUUGUUCCAUGUAUUUGUCCGGCUGAUAUCAUGAGAACAGAGGAUUAUAUGAUCACUUAUCUAAAAUGGCGCUUCAUAGUUCAACAGAGUUUUCGAGAGCUACGAUUGCUGGUUGGUUCCUGAAGUAACAUACGCAAAUAUAGUUAUUAGACUUAUCCAAGUGGGAGUCUGUUGGAUAAGGUGUCUAAGUCCAUAACUUAUUUGGUACAUACUUGACCCGACCCGGCAUGGUCCAUUUGGGUUGCACUUCACCCGAACUAUUUAUGGAUAAUUUUAUGAGAGUUAUACACAUAUGUUUAUUAAUAUAUUGUAAGUUAUAAUAUAUUAAUAUGAAGUUAUUUAAUUAGUCUUAGUCUUAAAUUAAUUAUGAAUUAAUUUAGAGAUUAAAAGGAAGACUAAUUAAAUUGUGGGCUAUUGUUUUAUAUGGUGUGGGCUAACACUCAUUUGUUAAUGGGCUAGGCUUAUAUGGAAGUCCAUGGAUGAUCCAUGGAGCUUUUAACCCAUGGAUCCUUGGAAAAGGAAAGGUCAUGGGUUAUUAGGGUUUCACCCUAACCAUGCACACUAUAUAAGCAUGCUUAUGUUGCAUGAAAUAGCCACUAGUGUGGUUUUGUGUGUGUGGCCGAGUUUCUAUGUGUGUAUACACUCUCUCAAAGUUUUCCAAGUGUUUGUGGUGAUUUGUGAUUCCAUUUGAGGCAUUCACACUAUUGGUGCUUGGCUCUCAAACUCCAAACAAUCAACCAUCAUCAAAAGGUAUGUAUUUCUACUAGUAGUUUUAUGAUUCAUAAUCCUUAUGCUAUGCUAGUUAGGAAGAAACCUUGGAAGUUAUUAUUUGCAUGUAUUUUAGAAGAAAACAUAGAUCCAAGGUUCAUUAGGGUUGCAUGCACACUUAGGAAGUGUUAGAUUGCUCAAAACCCAAUAGAAAUAACAUCUUAAAGCUUGCAUGGGGGCUUCCAUGGCCUUAAAGUUUACACCUUUAUGCCAUGAGAACCCUUCAAGGUCCUAGAUCUGGAGGUAUACUCACUUGGGACGUCUAUUUCCCAAAGAUCAUGCUUGUUGGGAAAAAAAACCCAAUAAAAUGACAAUAAGGAGAUCUAAGAACUUACUAAGCAAAUUUGAGACUUGCUUACCAGAAAGUGAAGAGAAUGAAAUGGUGUCUCUGGAUUCACUAGCUUCUUCUUGAAUCCCCAAGCUUCUCCUUCCUUCACAAGCUUCAACACACACAAAACUCACUCAAAAAUAACUCCCAAGCUCAAGAAUGCAUUAGGGUUUUGUGACUUAGGGUUUGGGACUUGGAGACUGGAAAUGAAGCUAGCAUGAGGGGAUUAAGGUGCUUAAAUAGGGUGCAAAACCCCGAAAUUAGGGUUUCACCCCUGCCAGCUUAGUCGUCGAGUUGAGGGAUCUCAAUUCAUCGAGUAGGUUUCUUAAAACCCGCACCUC